rnacentral:rRNA from 1 species
CCUACGGGGUGCAGCAGUGGGGAAUAUUGCACAAUGGGCGCAAGCCUGAUGCAGCCAUGCCGCGUGUGUGAAGAAGGCCUUCGGGUUGUAAAGCACUUUCAGCGGGGAGGAAGGCGUUAAGGUUAAUAACCUUAGCGAUUGACGUUAUCCGCAGAAGAAGCACCGGCUAACUCCGUGCCAGCAGCCGCGGUAAUACGGAGGGUGCAAGCGUUAAUCGGAAUUACUGGGCGUAAAGCGCACGCAGGCGGUCUGUCAAGUCGGAUGUGCAAUCCCCGGUCUCAACCUGGGAACUGCAUUCGAAACUGGCAGGCUAGAGUCUUGUAGAGGGGGGUAGAAUUCCAGGUGUAGCGGUGAAAUGCGUAGAGAUCUGGAGGAAUACCGGUGGCGAAGGCGGCCCCCUGGACAAAGACUGACGCUCAGGUGCGAAAGCGUGGGGAGCAAACAGGAUUAGAUACCCCUGUAGUC